UGACGGUACUUCACCACAMCCUAGAGGAGCCUGUCCAGUAACCGACGACCCACGAUUAACCUCUCUCUUUCUCGCCAACAGUCUAUAUACCACCGUCGUAAGCUUAUCCUAUAAAAGAACCAAAAUGAGCUAAAUAGUUUAACACUAAAAUGACAGGUCGAGGUGUAACUCAUGAAAGAGCAAAGAUGGGCUACAUUCUCUCAUCAGAGAACACGAAUAUCACUAUGAACAUAGUGAUUGAAGGUGGAUUUAACAGUAAGAUAAGAAUAAAAUACCUAACUGAACACACAGCAAUGAAGUGCGUACACACCGCCCGUCAUCCCUGCCAAUACUAU
rnacentral:rRNA from 1 species